rnacentral:rRNA from 1 species
GUGGGGAAUAUUGCGCAAUGGGGGAAACCCUGACGCAGCGACGCCGUGUGAGGGAAGAAGGCUUUCGGGUCGUAAACCUCUGUCAGAAAGGAAGAACCUCCCAUAUCCGAAUAGGGUGUGGGACUGACGGUACUUUCAAAGGAAGCACCGGCUAACUCCGUGCCAGCAGCCGCGGUAAUACGGAGGGUGCUAGCGUUAAUCGGAAUCACUGGGCGUAAAGCGCGCGUAGGCCGCUUUGUAAGUCGGACGUGAAAGCCCUCGGCUCAACCGGGGAACUGCGUUCGAUACUGCGAGGCUUGAGUCCUGGAGAGGGUGGCGGAAUUCCGGGUGUAGGAGUGAAAUCCGUAGAUAUCCGGAGGAACACCGGUGGCGAAGGCGGCCACCUGGACAGGUACUGACGCUGUGGCGCGAAAGCGUGGGGAGCAAACAGGAUUAGAUACCCCGGUAGUCC